rnacentral:misc_RNA from 1 species
GAUGAAGAACGUAGCGAAAUGCGAUAAGUAAUGCGAAUUGCAGAAUUUCCGUGAAUCAUCGAAUCUUUGAACGCACAUUGCACCUCUCGGUAUUCCGGGAGGUAUGCCUGUUCGAGCGUCAUUUGUACCCUCAAGCUCUGCUUGGUGUUGGGUGUUUGUUCCGCCUCUGUGUGUGAACUCGCCUCAAAACAAUUGGCAGCCGGCGUACUUGUUUCGGAGCGCAGCACAUUUUGCGAUCCAGAUCAACGUACAGCGGCAUCCAAGAAGCCUUAUUUAACGCUCUUGACCUCGGAUCAGGUAGGGAUACCCGCUGAACUUAAGCAUAUCAAUAAGCGGAGGA